UAUGAACAAAUAAGGCAAACAGAUUAUCAUAUCAUUUAGUUGCGUAAGGCCGUAAAGGGUCAGAGCCUCUCAGUUCCUGUAGUUCCUCAAAUAGCUCUGGAGUAGAUACAGAGAAAAGCAAGCGGAGCUGCAGCACAUGGAGCUGGAAUUGGAAACCCAUGCAGGGCUGAGCAACACCUGGUGAGCUGCAUGAGCCAGCUGAGACGUCCUCUGCAGGGCAGGAACAUGUGUCAAAGCCCUUAGGAAAAGACUGGAUGAAAUUAAAGGCGUUGGCUAAUCUGGCUGCCCUGUAGAUGUCCUCUGUGGUCACAGCGUCUGGGUCCACUGCACCGUACGCAAUGUUUUCUCUGAUGGAGCAAGAAAACAGCACAGGCUCCUGGGAGAGAGGCGGGAAGAGGAGAUGACAAAUAGGAAACUCUGGCUUCCUGUCCAGCAGCUCCCACAGUCUGCCUCCUGCUCCAAGACCCUUCAUCAGCUCAGAGUAGAAUGAACUCAGACCUACACAUCAAACAGAAGUCACCACACACAAACACCAUACUGACGUAAAC